UUCUUUCAUAUCAAUAAUUGCACCAAUCGUUCUAAGGAAAGGUCUACCAAGAAUAAUAGGACAUGUAGGAUUGCAAUCUAUAUCAAGAAUGAUGAAAUCUACGGGCACAUAAUUCCUAUUUGCAACAAUAAGAACAUCAUUAAUCCUUCCCAUAGGUUUCUUAAUGGUGGAAUCCGCAAGAUGCAAAUUUAAAGAACAAUCAUCAAAUUCAC
rnacentral:rRNA from 1 species